rnacentral:rRNA from 1 species
GUGUCAGCAGCCGCGGUAAUACGUAGGGCGCAAGCGUUGUCCGGAAUUAUUGGGCGUAAAGAGCUCGUAGGCGGCCAGUUGCGUCCGCUGUGAAAUCCCGGGGCUUAACCCCGGGCGUGCAGUGGAUACGGGCUGGCUGGAGGCAGGCAGGGGAGAACGGAAUUCCUGGUGUAGCGGUGAAAUGCGCAGAUAUCAGGAGGAACACCGGUGGCGAAGGCGGUUCUCUGGGCCUGUACUGACGCUGAGGAGCGAAAGCGUGGGGAGCGAACAGGAUUAGAUACCCUGGUAGUCC